rnacentral:tRNA from 1 species
GUAGAUAUAGUUUAAUCAAAACAUUAGAUUGUGAUUCUAGAAAAAAAGGUUAAAACCCUUUUGUCCACC